GACGAACGCUGGCGGCGUGCUUAACACAUGCAAGUCGAACGGUGAAGCACGGAGCUUGCUCCGACCGGAUCAGUGGCGAACGGGUGAGUAACACGUGAGUAACCUGCCCCAGACUCUGGAAUAACCCCGGGAAACCGGAGCUAAUACCGGAUACGAGACGGAGAGGCAUCUCUACCGUCUGGAAAGUUUUUCGGUCUGGGAUGGACUCGCGGCCUAUCAGCUAGUUGGUGAGGUAAUGGCUCACCAAGGCGACGACGGGUAGCCGGCCUGAGAGGGCGACCGGCCACACUGGGACUGAGACACGGCCCAGACUCCUACGGGAGGCAGCAGUGGGGAAUAUUGCACAAUGGGCGAAAGCCUGAUGCAGCAACGCCGCGUGAGGGAUGACGGCCUUCGGGUUGUAAACCUCUUUUAGUAGGGAAGAAGCGAAAGUGACGGUACCUGCAGAAAAAGCACCGGCUAACUACGUGCCAGCCGCCGCCGUAACAC
rnacentral:rRNA from 1 species